ensembl:lncRNA
GAAUUCUCCUCCAGAGGCCAAAAAUCCCAGCUACUUUCGUGGUUCAGCAACAACCUUUCCAUAUCCUUAUAUCAGCAAGGCAGAAUUAAAUUAUCGGAUUCCUAAAGCAGUUCCCCUUUGGACUUACCUGUGGAAAUUGCUGAAUGGGAAGGGUCAGGGAACUGAGGGUCCAUGAUUUGGUUCAGUAACUUUUGGCAGGCUGACCAAAACCCUCCCCUGCCUUCCCGCUGCUUUUCAUGCAACCCUGUUAAUGACCACCAGCUGUGGGGCCACUCCUCUGACCACUUUGCCUGGCCUCCUGGGUCUUCAGUGCUUUCAGGGCUAAGGGGCCUCUAUAGUCUCCUGCUCUCUGGCUUCCCCCUGCCUCAAGGAUCUCCACCUCCCAGAGCAUUGCCAAUUCAGCAGGAGCUUCCCUGGGUUCAAAAUGGGUCAUAAAGCAGCAGAGACAACUUGCAACAUCAACAACCCAUUUGGCCAGGGAAGUGCUAAUGAAUGUACAGUGCAACGGUGGUUCAAGAAGUUUUGCAAAGGAGAUGAGAGCCUUGAAGAUGAGGAGUGUAGUGGCCAGCCAUCAGAAGUUGACAAUGACAACUGAGAGCCAUCAUUGAAGCUAAUCCUGACAACUACAUGAGAAGUUGACGAAGAACUCAACAUCAACCAUUUUAAUGUCAUGCAGCUUUUGAAGCAAAUUGGAAAGGUGAAAAAGCUCCCUAAAUGUGAGCCUCAGUGAGCUGACCAAAAAUCAAAAAAAUCAUCAUUUUGAAGUGUCAUUUCCCCUUAUUUUAUGCAACAACAAAUCAUUUUUUGAUUGGAUUGUAACAGAUGAUGAGAAGUGGAUUUUAUACAACUGGCAAUGACCAGCUCAGUGCCUGGGCAGAGAAGCAGCUCCAAAGCACUUCCCAAAGCCAAACUAAUACCAAAAAAAGGUAAUGGUCACUGUUUGGUGGUCUGCUGCCCGUCUGAUCCACUACAGCUUUCUGAAUCCUGGCAAAACCAUUACAUCAGAAGUAUGCUUAACAAAUCGAAGAGAUGCACCAAAAACUGCAAGGCCUGCAGGUGGCCUUGAUCAACAGAAUGGGCCCAAUUCUUCUCCAUGACAACACCCAACCGCACAUUGCACAACCAAUGCUUCAAAAGUUGAACAAAUUGCGCUACAAAGUUUUGCCUCAUCCACCAUAUUCACCUGACCUCUAGCCAACCAACUACUACCUCUUCAAGCACCUCAACAACUUUUUGCAGGGAAAAUGCUUUCCAAGAGUUUGUCAAAUCCCAAAGCAUGGAUUUUUAUGCUACAGGAGUAGACAAACUUAUUUCUCAUUGGCAAAAAUGUGUUUCAGACCAUGAAUUUUAAAUCAUUAUAACUAGGCUCAAACACAUCUUUAUUAAACAAAAUAGGAACCAUUAUAAUCAACACAUUUUAUCCAACGAGAAAUAAGUUUGUUUACUCCUGUAGUGUAAAAAAUCCAUGCUUCGGGAUUCAACAAACACUUGGAAAGCAUCUUACCUGCAAAAAGUUGUCGAGAUGCUUGAAGUGAUAGUCAGUAACUGGCUAGAGGUCAGAUGAAUAUGGAGGGUGAGGAAAAACUUUGUUAAACACUAUUGUAGGUUUUGAGGACACAGCUGUGAUGAACAAUUUCCUGCCUCCACAGAGUUACAUUCUAGCAUGGAAUAUAUUUUUUCAGGGACUAAAAUAUUUGUGUUUGCUGCCCAGAGCAUUCCCUUCCCCGUAUAAAUGUUUUAGGGAAUCUCUAAGUUGGUACUCAAAACAUUGUGCAUUCAAUGAUCAGAAAAAAAGAAGUGGAUGGUUUUAAGGUACAUUUCAUUCAGGUGCCAGGUAAACCCUAAGAAGUUAUCUAUGCUCCAGAACAAGUGUACGUUAGAAAAGUACAUUGACUAGCUUAACAAUGUUCUUUGCACUUAUAAUUUCUCUAUCCUGAACUUUGCUAGAUGGAAAAACAUGGCCAAAUCCUGGCAGAUUUCUUUUUCUGGAUUCCAAGAGAACCAUUUCAAUUCUUAUACAUUCUUUCAGACAUAUUGUAAUAUUAUUGAUUUCAAUUAUAUAA